rnacentral:rRNA from 1 species
GGUUUAAUUCGAAGCAACGCGAAGAACCUUACCUGCUCUUGACAUCCCGGUGACCGGCAUGUAAUGAUGCCUUUUCUUCGGAACACCGGUGACAGGUGGUGCAUGGUUGUCGUCAGCUCGUGUCGUGAGAUGUUGGGUUAAGUCCCGCAACGAGCGCAACCCUUAUCUUCAGUAGCCAGCAAUUUGGAUGGGCACUCUGGAGAGACUGCCAGGGAUAACCUGGA